UUAAAUCAGUUAUCGUUUAUUUGAUAGUACCUUACUACUUGGAUACCCGUGGUAAUUCUAGAGCUAAUACAUGCAAAAAACCCCAACUUCGGGAGGGGUGUAUUUAUUAGAUAAAAAACCAAUGCCCUUCGGGGCUCCUUGGUGAUUCAUGAUAACUUAACGGAUCGCAUGGCCUUGCGCCGGCGACGGUUCAUUCAAAUUUCUGCCCUAUCAACUUUCGAUGGUAAGGUAUUGGCUUACCAUGGUUUCAACGGGUAACGGAUUUUUAGGGAAAGAUCCCGGAGAAGGAGCCUGAGAGACGGCUACUACAUCCAAGGAAGGCAGCAGGCGCGCAAAUUACCCAAUCCCGAUACGGGGAGGUAGUGACAAUAAAUACUGAUACAGGGCUCUUUUGGGUCUUGUAAUCGGAAUGAGUACAAUUUAAAUACCUUAACGAGGAACAAUUGGAGGGCAAGUCUGGUGCCAGCAGCCGCGGUAAUUCCAGCUCCAAUAGCGUAUAUUAAAGUUGUUGCAGUUAAAAAGCUCGUAGUUGAACCUUGGGCCUGGCUGGCCGGUCCGCCUCACCGCGUGUACUGGUCCGGCCGGGCCUUUCCUUCUGGAGAACCGCAUGCCCUUCACUGGGUGUGCCGGGGAACCAGGACUUUUACUUUGAGAAAAUUAGAGUGUUCAAAGCAGGCCUUUGCUCGAAUACGUUAGCAUGGAAUAAUAGAAUAGGACGUGCGGUCCUAUUUUGUUGGUUUCUAGAACCGCCGUAAUGAUUAAUAGGGAUAGUCGGGGGCGUCAGUAUUCAAUUGUCAGAGGUGAAAUUCUUGGAUCUAUUGAAGACUAACUACUGCGAAAGCAUUCGCCAAGGAUGUUUUCAUUAAUCAGUGAACGAAAGUUAGGGGAUCGAAGACGAUCAGAUACCGUCGUAGUCUUAACCGUAAACUAUGCCGACUAGGGAUCGGGCGAUGUUUCUAUAUUGACUCGCUCGGCA
rnacentral:rRNA from 1 species